UACGUAGGAUGCUAGCGUUGUCCGGAAUCACUGGGCGUAAAGGGUCCGUAGGCGGUUUGUUAAGUCUCCUGUGAAAGUUCAGGGCUCAACCCUGAAAUGUCGGGGGAUACUGGCAAACUUGAGACUGUCAGAGGCAGGUGGAAUUCCCGGUGUAGUGGUGAAAUGCGUAGAUAUCGGGAGGAACACCAGUGGCGAAAGCGGCCUGCUGGGACAGUUCUGACGCUGAGGGACGAAAGCGUGGGUAGCAAACCGG
rnacentral:rRNA from 1 species